rnacentral:rRNA from 1 species
GCGAACGCUGGCGGCAGGCCUAACACAUGCAAGUCGAACGAACUCUUCGGAGUUAGUGGCGGACGGGUGAGUAACACGUGGGAACGUGCCUUUUGGUUCGGAAUAACUCAGGGAAACUUGUGCUAAUACCGAAUGUGCCCUUCGGGGGAAAGAUUUAUCGCCAUUAGAGCGGCCCGCGUCUGAUUAGCUAGUUGGUGAGGUAAAGGCUCACCAAGGCGACGAUCAGUAGCUGGUCUGAGAGGAUGAUCAGCCACAUUGGGACUGAGACACGGCCCAAACUCCUACGGGAGGCAGCAGUGGGGAAUCUUGCGCAAUGGGCGAAAGCCUGACGCAGCCAUGCCGCGUGAAUGAUGAAGGUCUUAGGAUUGUAAAAUUCUUUCACCGGGGACGAUAAUGACGGUACCCGGAGAAGAAGCCCCGGCUAACUUCGU